rfam:Capsicum annuum cultivar Zunla-1 unplaced genomic scaffold scaffold6014, whole genome shotgun sequence
GUCGUCUUAGCUCAGUGGUAGAGCGCGUGGCUUUUAAUCACGUGGUUGUGGGUUCGAUCUUCACAGACGACG